AGUAUGUCUUUAUUAGCAGCAUAAGAACAAAAUAAAACAGAUGGAGAUGAAUCCUAUGAAGGCUAACUACAAGAUAAGAGGUUAGAGAGUAAAUGAGGAGGGGUAGAGUGGCUACAUAAUAGAAAAUGGUCCAUAAAUGCCUCUAGCAUUAGGUGAUAAUUAACUAAAACCUGGAUGAGUUGUGGAGGCAAGCCGUGCAGAUAUCUAGGAGAUAAUAAUUUCCUGAAGGGUAAUCAGGAAGUGUGAGCAUUCUGAGGUAGAGUAUGCCUAACAAAUGUCUUAUAAGACAGCAUAAGAAGGCUAGUGGGUCUGGAGUUCAGUGAAUGAGGAGACAAUGUUGAAUUCCCUGUGUCCUGGAAGUGAUCUUUCUUUCCAGAAUCCUUCUUCAAGGAAACUCAACUUCCACUUCUUUUUGGAAAAAGGGUGCAAAGGAAGGUACUUUGGAAUGAUAUCAUCACAGGAGGAACAUGGAAGUUCUACAGCACAUGUAAGAUAUGUGUUCUUAGUCACUGGCUCUUUGGAGAGUAUCUAGGCAUGGAGAUUUUAAUGACCCAGAGCAGUAGAAGACAGAGUUGAAUUAUUUCAUUGUCCUCAAACAUCAUGCAUAGGUGUCUACUGGAGACAUCACAUACCAAGUGGCUUUGCUUGAUCAAUGCCUGAAACCAGGACAUGCCAACCAGUAUUGCUCAACACUUGCAGGCAUGGAAAUGAGAUGAUGAGAGAUGGAUAACACCCACACACAGACUUUGGUUCUAUAUAAAACUUCAAGUGUUUAGAUUUGACUUCAGAGAAAAGAGUGUUGGGUUAAAUUAAGUCUCAGCCACUCCAGCAGCAAAGAGUUUUAAAUUUAUGUAUGGCAAACAUCAAGAGGAAGAUCUACAUGCUAGAAGUGAGUGACCAGAAGAUGAAAUGACUGUUAUUUUCUGCAGGAAACCAAUGUCAUGGAGAAGACAUCCUAAGGAUGCAGAGUGCAUGACUGGAGACUAAGAUGGAAGAACAAACCUUGAUUGUGUGGAAAAUAUAUCCGGCAUUCUUCAGUAAUGAAAAAUGCAGUGAAAUCAUCACCAGUACUCUUUCUGGGACUCCUAAUGAAGAUGUACUCAUCUUGCAUGCCCACUCUGCUCUGAGCCCAGGAGAUUGACCCACAUUUUUAACUUUUGGUUGGUUUACCGGGUGCAGUCAUCGCCAGGAGACUGGAAAGCUAGCUACAGGACAGAGUGGUUAGGGUGCUACACUCUCUUGCUUUCUCCCUGUAAAGUCACAAUAGGUUGGCUUCUUUCUUGCUCAAAGACCACAAAUUUUAUUGGGUUGUUUUCUUCAACAGCCAUCAUCUCUGGGAAUCAUACUGUUCUUCCUCACCUAGAGAUAGGAUGAGCUUUCCACAACCUUAAAUAUUAGAGAUGCUACACAUACUGUGUUAUUUGUUAAAUGUGCAGGAAUAAAUAUUCUGGAGACCUAGAAUGAAUAAAAAAUUCUGGUAACCCCAGUGGAAAAUCACCAGUGUCUAAGAAAUUUUGGAGAUAUGUAGAAUGUACUUGAAUGAUUAGAAUUAGAUUACCAUGAUUUAGUCCAAGAAAACAUCUGUAUCAAUGGUUCUUUGAAGAUAUUGGAAUGUAAUGGGAAGAACAUGCAGUUUUGACAGAAUGGCUACAUAAGAAUUAGAGAAGAACAGAGAUGGUAUUUAAGAGGUGCAUCUGCAAAACAGCGUUUGAUUUGUGAAUAAAAUGAAAUUUACUGUGUGAAAUUUGUGACCAGAGGAAAUAACCUUCCACGGAUUGAAUUGCUUAUUUUUAGCAGUACUGAGUGAAGCCAACUUUGGGAUUAAAUGAACCAGUCUCCUGAAUUAUUUGAAUUACCUUGGGUUACAAGUGGUUGUUGAAGCAACGGAUUUCUCUCCUCAACUCUUGGCACUAUUAGACUGGUUACUUAUUCAGAAUACUCAGAAUGUAGGAUCACAAAUCAAUAAUAUCCAGUCUUGUCAGUUGGGAGGAGAUAUGGGUAAUUUGUGUAAGAAAGCUAGAAAAUUUAGGAGGAAAAACAAAACAAAGGAAAUUCAUUAUGAAAGACUUCAACAUAAAGAUGAAAAAUGUCAAGUGAUAAAGCAAAGUAAUUAAGUUCUUAAAUAAUAUUGAUUCAAGUAAAGACGGCAUUUAAUCACUGAGAACCACAUCUAUGGCUGACAAUGUAGAAUACGGCUGAAUCUGGUUUGCCUGUUCCAUACAGAUCUCAAAGCCUCCAGAGACCUAAACCCACUGACACCAUAAUUGCUUUGAAGAACAAUGGAGAAAUCUGAAUGGGAAUAAAAGUGACAUAGUCUUAUAACCUAAGCAUGGGUUUUCAAUGAGUUUCUGCAUGGAUUUGGGUUCUGACCAUCUGAUAUCAUCUGUAGAGAGAAAGUAUCUUCUGACUGCAUAGGGUUAAGCAUAAAUAGUAAACCGAAGUGACUUCAAGGAAAAACAGUGGCAGCAUAAACUGAACGUACUCCAGUUUCUUCUACUGCUGUCUUCAGAAGUUGACUGAACCACUAAUCUUUAGAAUUGAGAGAGCUAUGAGUUCUUAGCCAUUUUGUAAGGAGUUGAACAGCUUCAUUAAAUACUGAUAGCGAUCAGAGGCAGCCAAAUCCCUAGCCAGAUAGGGGCAAGUAGCCUGUAAAACCCCACCUCCAAGCUGAAGACAGUUUGAAGCCUGUAAGCCAAGCUACAAAUUAAAUCCUUGGACCAGACUGAGAAGUUGUCUUCCUUUUUGGCAUGCAUCCCUCUGAUUUUUACCCCCUGCUUCACUCUAUUUUACAUAUACCUACCAUUUCCUAAUUGGAUUUCUACACUGUUGUGCCGACUUUUGAGUGGUGUCUUUGCUUUAACCUUUUUUGCAUACUAACAAACCAAUCAGAAUGCACUCCCCAUCCUGUGCCUAUAUAGACCUCAGACUCAGGUGGUGGAGGAGGAGAUGGCCUGACUUCGGGGAAGAGACAGCAUAACUUUGGGGAAGAUGACCUGCCUUUCCCAUCCUCUCUCCAGCUCCCCUCUCUGCUGACAGCCAUUUUCAUGGCUCAGUAAAAUUCUCUGCCUUCACCAUCCUUCAAUCAUCCAUGUGACCUCAUUAUUCUUGGACACUAGACAAGAGCUCGGGAACCACCAAGUGCACGUACCCAAGAAAGGCUGUCAAACUAGCCCUUUUCUCUAACUGGUGGAUGACAGCCACCCUAUGUGACAAGGCAAGAGGCCAACUGAGCUGCUAACAUGCCACUGUCCAUUGGACUGUGACACUAAAUAAGCACUGUAACACCCA
rnacentral:lncRNA from 1 species